rnacentral:tRNA from 1 species
UCCAGGGUAGCCUAGUGGACAUGGCAUCUGCCCGGUAAACGGAACUUUGUAGGUUCGAUUUCCAUCCCUGGAC